rnacentral:rRNA from 1 species
AGUGAACGCUGGCGGUAGGCCUAACACAUGCCAGUCGAACGGCAGCACAGUAAGAGCUUGCUCUUACGGGUGGCGAGUGGCGGACGGGUGAGGAAUACAUCGGAAUCUACUUUUUCGUGGGGGAUAGCGUAGGGAAACUUACGCUAAUACCGCAUACGACCUACGGGUGGAAGCAGGGGAUCUUCGGACCUUGCGCGAUUGAAUGAGCCGAUGUCGGAUUAGCUAGUUGGCGGGGUAAAGGCCCACCAAGGCGACGAUCCGUAGCUGGUCUGAGAGGAUGAUCAGCCACACUGGAACUGAGACACGGUCCAGACUCCUACGGGAGGCAGCAGUGGGGAAUAUUGGACAAUGGGCGCAAGCCUGAUCCAGCCAUACCGCGUGGGUGAAGAAGGCCUUCGGGUUGUAAAGCCCUUUUGUUGGGAAAGAAAAGCAGCAGGUUAAUACCCCGCUGUUCUGACGGUACCCAAAGAAUAAGCACCGGCUAACUUCGUG